CCUACGGGUGGCAGCAGUGAGGAAUAUUGGUCAAUGGGCUUACGCCUGAACCAGCCAAGUCGCGUUAGGGAAGACUGCCCUCUGGGUUGUAAACCUCUUUUGUCAGGGCGCAACGCCGGCUACGUGUAGCCUAACUGAGAGUACCUGAAGAAACAGCAUCGGAUAACUCCGUGACAGCAUCCACGUUAAUACGUAGAAUGCGAGCGGUAGCCGUAUUUAUUGGGUUUAAAGGGUGCGUAGGCGGGAUGCCAAUUAAGCGGUAAAAUCGAGGGGCUCAAACUCGCUCCGACGUUGAAACUGGCGAUCUUGAGUGUGCGAGAAGUAAGCGGAAUGCGUGGUGUAGCGGUGAAAUGCAGAGAUAUCAGGAAGAACUCCGAUUGCGAAGGCAGCAUACCGGCGCCAAACUGACGCUGAAGCACGAAAGCGUGGGUAUCGAACAGGAUUAGAUACCCCAGUAGUC
rnacentral:rRNA from 1 species